rnacentral:rRNA from 1 species
GGAUUGCAGUCUGCAACUCGAGUGCAUGAAGCUGGAAUCGCUAGUAAUCGCGGAUCAGAAUGCCGCGGUGAAUACGUUCCCGGGUCUUGUACACACCGCCCGUCACACCAUGGGAGUCGGGAAUGCCCGAAGCCGGUGGCCCAAUCGAAAGAAGGGAGCCGUCGAAGGCAGGCCGGAUGACUGGGGUGAAGUCGUAACAAGGUAUC